CCUACGGGUGGCAGCAGUGGGGAAUAUUGGACAAUGGGCGAAAGCCUGAUCCAGCCAUGCCGCGUGUGUGAAGAAGGCCUUCGGGUUGUAAAGCACUUUCAGUGGGGAAGAAAGCCUUGGGGCUAAUACCCUCGAGGAAGGACAUCACCCACAGAAGAAGCACCGGCUAACUCCGUGCCAACAGCCGCGGUAAUACGGAGGGUGCGAGCGUUAAUCGGAAUUACUGGGCGUAAAGCGCGCGUAGGCGGUCUGAUAAGCCGGUUGUGAAAGCCCCGGGCUCAACCUGGGAACGGCAUCCGGAACUGUCAGGCUAGAGUGCAGGAGAGGAAGGUAGAAUUCCCGGUGUAGCGGUGAAAUGCGUAGAGAUCGGGAGGAAUACCAGUGGCGAAGGCGGCCUUCUGGACUGACACUGACGCUGAGGUGCGAAAGCGUGGGUAGCAAACAGGAUUAGAUACCCGAGUAGUC
rnacentral:rRNA from 1 species